rnacentral:rRNA from 1 species
UACGAAGGGGACUAGCGUUGUUCGGAAUUACUGGGCGUAAAGCGCACGUAGGCGGAUUUGUUAGUCAGGGGUGAAAUCCCGAGGCUCAACCUCGGAACUGCCUUUGAUACUGCAAGUCUCGAGUCCGAUAGAGGUGGGUGGAAUUCCUAGUGUAGAGGUGAAAUUCGUAGAUAUUAGGAAGAACACCGGUGGCGAAGGCGGCCCACUGGAUCGGUACUGACGCUGAGGUGCGAAAGCGUGGGGAGCAAACAGG